rnacentral:rRNA from 1 species
AUUGAACGCUGGCGGCAGGCCUAACACAUGCAAGUCGAACGAGUGGCGGACGGGUGAGUAAUGUCUGGGAAACUGCCUUAUGGAGGGGGAUAACUACGGGAAACGGUAGCUAAUCCCGCAUACCAUCAGAUGUUCCCAGCUGGGAGUAGGUUGUUGGUGGGGUAACGGCUCACCAAGGCGACGAUCCCUAGCUGGUCUGAGAGGAUGACCAGCGACACUGGGACUGAGACACGGCCCAGACUCCGACGGUAGGCAGCAGUGGGGAAUAUUGCGCAAUGGGCGCAAGCCUGAUGCAGCCAUGCCGCGUGAAUGAAGAAGGCCUUCGGGUUGUAAAGUUCUUUCAGUAGCGAGGCGUUACCUACAGAAGAAGCACCGGCUAACUCCGUGCCAGCAGCCGCGGUAAUUC